rnacentral:rRNA from 1 species
GACGAACGCUGGCGGCGUGCUUAACACAUGCAAGUCGAACGGAAAGGCCCUGCUUUUGUUGCGUGCUCGAGUGCCGAGCGGGUGAGUAACACGUGAGUAACCUGCCCUUGUCUUUGGGAUAACUUCAGGAAACUGGGGCUCUUACCGGAUAGGAGCUCCUGCUGCGUGGUGGGGGUUGGAGAGUUUCGGCGGUUCGGGAUGGACUCGCGGGUUAUCAGCUUGUUUGUGGGGUAGUGGCUUACCAAGGCUAUGACGGGUAGCCGGCCUGAGAGGGUUACCGGCGACAUUGGGACUGAGAUACGGCGCAGACUCCUACGGGAGGCAGCAGGGGGGAAUAUUGCGCAAUGGGGGGAAGCCUGAUGCAGCAACGCCGCGUGCGGGAUGACGGCCUUCGGGGUGUAAACAGCUUUCGCCUGUGACGAAGCGUGAGUGACGGUAAUGGGUAAAGAAGCACCGGCUAACUACGUG